UACAGGGGGUGCAAACGUUGCUCGGAAUCAUUGGGCGUAAAGCGCACGUAGGCGGUUCGUUAUGUCGGAUGUGAAAGCCCUUGGCUUAACCGAGGAAGUGCAUCCGAAACUGGCGAGCUAGAGUACGAAAGAGGAUCGCGGAAUUCCCGGUGUAGAGGUGAAAUUCGUAGAUAUCGGGAGGAACACCGGUGGCGAAGGCGGCGAUCUGGGUCGAUACUGACGCUGAGGUGCGAAAGCGUGGGGCAAACAGG
rnacentral:rRNA from 1 species